rnacentral:rRNA from 1 species
UUCGGAUUGCAGUCUGCAACUCGAGUGCAUGAAGCUGGAAUCGCUAGUAAUCGCGGAUCAGAAUGCCGCGGUGAAUACGUUCCCGGGUCUUGUACACACCGCCCGUCACACCAUGGGAGCCGGUAACGCCCGAAGUCAGUGGCCCAACCGAGAGGGGGGAGCUGCCGAAGGCGGGACUGGUAACUGGGGUGAAGUCGUAACAAGGUAAC